rnacentral:rRNA from 1 species
AUGGAUUUGAACCCAUCGGUGACGUGCUGGAACGUUCGAGGUUUGAACAACCCAGCGAAGAGACAAGCGGUCAAAGACUUCCUAAUGUCGGUGCGGCCUAAUCUAGUGUGUUUGCAAGAAACUAAGCUCGAUGUAGUUGAUAACUUCCUCUUAAUGCAAUGCUGUGGACCGUCCUUAGAUGGGUUUGCUUAUCUACCGGCGAUCGAAACGAGAGGUGUGAUUAUCCUUGCUUGGUACACCACUGUGAUGACAGUCGAUCACAUCUCGUGUGACACAAACUCCAUCACUGGGCUGGUGCACCCCAAGUCAGGUGAGGACUGGUGGGUCAUGGUGGUCUAUGGGCCACAAGGGAACGACCUCAAGACACUAUUCUUUGAGGAGCUGACAGCAAGGCGAGCAACUUUCCUGGGACCAUGGAUGGUCCUCGGCGAUUUCAACCUAAUUCUUAGAGCUUCGGAGAAAAACAACUUGAAUCUUAACAGGGCCAUGAUGAACAAGUUUAGGAGCUUCGUCGACAAUAAUGAACUCAAAGAGAUCUACAUGCACGGGCGUCAUUUUACAUGGUCGAAUGAGAGAGAUGCCCUGACAAUGACUAAAAUCGAUCGGAUCCUCGUCUCGGUGGAUUGGGAAUUGGCGAGUGUCGGUGUCAAAACCGCCGGAUCUCCGGUAGGGGGUCCCGAACUGUACAUCUAG